rnacentral:rRNA from 1 species
AUGAGCAGGGAUGACGUCCUUCAAUGGUGGGGCUCAAGCGGAGAACUUCCCCAAUCCAUCCAGGGGGAACGAGUAUGCUUCGUCCCCUUCAUCUUGCGAGGUGUCGAAUUUCCAAUCCAUCCCUUGCUCCGAGGUCUGCUAGAGUAUUACGGCCUCCAACUACAUAGUCUCACCCCCGCCUCUAUCCUGCAUAUUGCGGGUUAUGUCGCUCUACGCGAGCUAUUCCUGGGUUGUGAGGCCCAUUUCUAUUUAUGGAGAAGAUUGUUUUUCCUCAUCCCUCGUAAUCAAGGAGGGUCAAUAUUUGAAGUCUUCCAAAGAAUGACCUUCCGAAUGGUUCUAUAUUGA